ensembl:snRNA Gm26361 predicted gene, 26361
GGCAUUAAAUGGAAGAGUACUUGCCAUGCUCAAGAUGGUGAUUUUCCCAGGGCGAGGCUCAUCCAUUGUUGGGGCCAUGCUGACCCCUGUGAUUUUUCUAAAUGCAAGUAAUUCAACUGCAUAAGGUGUUGGGGGGGGGGCGGGGGUAUUGAGACGGGAUUUUUACCAUGUAGUCAUAACUGUAGACCUCAC